GUUACGGUAUGGAUGGGGUAGAAGCUCAAAGCCUCUAGGAGAUAUGGUGGUGGUGGUGUAGUGUUUGGUGGCUCCAAGAGAGGUUAGGCCAACUCAAGGAGGAAGGUGACUAGAGGGGCCUCAUGAGUUGCUCUAUUCUUGAUCUAAGAUAAGUAAUAUGGCCAAAAAUGGGCAGCAUAACAUUACUCAAAAUCAAAGAUGAAAUACAAGGGUGGAGACACCUCUAUUUAUAGGCCAAGGGUGUCUCCUUCUAACCCUAAAAGCACGACCUCCCACCUUUGCUCUCAUUGGCAAAAAAUGAGGCCUUCUAACCUCCAAUGAUGGGAGGACAUGUGGCCACUCAUAAAACACAAUCCUCUCCAUUCCUAGAGUGCCAUGUGGCCACUACUAAAAGCAAAAACUCUCCACUCGUAAGGUGCCAUGUGGCUACCUUUUAAAAAGUAAAUCCUCUCCAAUGGAAGCAUGAGACAUGACACACACUUUCCACUUGGUUUGGGUGUCUAGCUUUAAGGAAAACCCUAUGCUACUUAGGCCUUAAUACAAGCCUUAAACAAACCUACACUACAUGGCCUAAUACAAUGGCCUAAAUUCCUACACUACUCUUCAAGCCUUGCUUUAUAAUGGCUCCAAAGGUGGUCCAUAAGGUAGAGUUGACACCAU
rnacentral:lncRNA from 1 species